rnacentral:rRNA from 1 species
AUACAGAGGGUGCGAGCGUUAAUCGGAAUUACUGGGCGUAAAGCGCGCGUAGGCGGCUUAUUAAGUCAGAUGUGAAAUCCCCGGGCUCAACCUGGGAACUGCAUCUGAUACAGGUAAGCUAGAGUUUUGGAGAGGGAAGUAGAAUUUCAGGUGUAGCGGUGAAAUGCAUAGAGAUCUGAAGGAAUACCAGUGGCGAAGGCGACUUCCUGGCCAAAAACUGACGCUGAGGUGCGAAAGCGUGGGUAGCAAACGGGAUUAGAAACCCCUGUAGUCC